UUAAUAUUUCAUUGACGUAUCAAGUUAACUAUACUAGUUAAACUACAUAUGGUAGCCCACGCACAUUGUGCCUAAGUGGCUAAACUUAUAGUAGGGCCUUUAACAAGCCCUAAAUCAGUAAAUUUAGCCCUAGACUCUUCCUACAAGUCAAAGGCCCUGCCCACAACACCAAUGUCCUAUAUUAGCUUAGCUAGGAGACUAGGCCCCAGAAAACAAGUAAACAGGGGUGGCUAAAAUGGUGCCAGCAGUCGCGGUUAUACCAUUACCCCAAGUUAAUUAUCUCAAUCAGGGACAAACCCCAAACGACUAAACAAUUAUCUUCUUAUGUAAAAAAUAAAUUUCAACUAAACCCGAACGAGUCCUAUAAUCCUGUCCCAACAAACCACAACCUCAAAACCCGGAUUAGAUACCCGACUAUUGUGUGGCCCAACAUAUAAAAGAACACUACAAGCGAAAGCUCAAACCUCAAACAAUGUGGCGGUGCUUAACUCCCUAUCAGGGGAUCCUGUGUCUUAAUUCGAUAAUCCACGAAAACCUUAACUCCCCUAGCCCACAGCUUAUGUAUGGCCGUUUACGCUUGCUCAAAAAAGACCCCCAAAGGAAGCAACAGGGCCCCACUCCCCCUAAUUCAGGUGACAUAUAGCCAAUGGUGAGCCGACUCAUGGGAUACAAAUAAACACACUACCAAACUUAAGCCUUAAACCCUUAACAAAGGAGGACUUGAAAGUAAGACCCGCAUCCAUAAAACCGGUCUGAACAAGAACUUAAGCGCGCACAAAUCGCCCGUCACUCCGGCAGUAAAGCCGGAUAAGUCGUAACAUAGUAGGGGUAAUGGAAAUUGCCCCUAUCAUGUC
rnacentral:ncRNA from 1 species